GGCCAUUUUGAUGUGUGAACUGGAGGGGGUGAGUUGUGCGAUGGGGGUGAGCUCGGAGGGGAGUGGGUUUAGUACUCAGCCAGGCCGAUAUCCCGCGCCACUUGCCCACGCUCAGGAGGGGUAGGUGUUGUCCUUUUGGCGAACAGCAGCAAUGAGAGCGCCGCAUCCCCCGCGUGGAGAGGCAAGGGGAGAGGCGUCCGCCGAUUGGGUGCGCCGCACUGCCGACGUGGUGGGCCUGUCACAUGGAGCUCGCUGAUAUCCCCGUGCAUUGCUGGUGGGAUCACUGCAGUGGGAUCUUGGAUGCCAAGGUGAUGACUUGAUUUCACCAAAAUGAACUAUCUGGGAACUUUGGAAUCAAGCUGUUUGGGAUACCACAACAGCAGCCUGACAUGGAGCUUGCUGAUGUGCCUGUGCAUUACUGGUGGGAUCACUGCAGUGGGUGUUUGGAUGCCAAGGUGAUGACUUGACCAAAAUGGUGUGCCAGUCAGUGGCUCAAUGAGAGCUGAAGCACUGGCCCUGGACUGUUCUUCCCAGUCUGGAUGAGAGGGGUUGACAACUAGAAUGUUUGGAAGCAAAUAGUUGAAUAUGGUAGUGUGAAAAAGGCUUUUGUCUGUGGUGGAGCUGUUCCCACAGGGAACCUGCAGGAAGUGGGCACCUGAGAUCAAAGGUGUGUAGUUAACUGUAGGAAAACUUUGUAGAUCAGACAGCAUGUGUAAAGCUGGACCAAUUCCCCCCACUGUCCUGUUGUUCUAACUGGUAAACCACUUGGAUCUCCUGGUGUGUACUGUGGGAGUUGAGAAGCUCACAGGUGCAGUGGGCAAUGAAAUGUUGCUACAAAUAUACAUUGUAUCUGCACACAACUACUCAUUCCCCUGCUGACUGUCUGCUCUAGUGGCUGCAAGCAAAGACAGAGUCCAGGGGGUUGGGAAACCUGAAAUGAUGUACAGAUGGUGAACAUGGUUUGCUUGCAGAUGGAACAUUAGGCCCAUUAGAACAAAUUUAUGUUUGCCAAUUCAACUCAGUUAUAGGCAGAUCCCAUCUGUGCUCUUGAGAUGGGGAUUCCAUGUGGGUUUAUCAGCUGGCCCUUGUCAGUGAAAUGCAGUUGAGUCAGAUUGUGGGACAUUGAGUAGCCUUGGUAGACACUUUACACAUACUCUGGAAGAACAGCUGUGGUGAAUGUGGCAGCCCUCACUGCCUUGUAAUUCUUCAGCCCCAGGAGAUGAGAUGACCUCGCAGUGUUUCUUGCUGAUGGGUACAGUUGUUAGCUAAUUCAGAUUGACAGGAAAGGGCAUAACUUGUUCGAGUGGAAGUUGUUCAGACAUUGGAAAUUGCUAAAUUAGCUCAAUUCAUCCACAAGUGUGAAUUAUGAAAGUCUUGUAUUAAGUAAUUACUUUCACUCAAUAAAAGUUCACUGCUCUUUUG